AUGCUUACCAUGCAAGUCGACGAGACGGGAUGGAAUGACCCUUCGGGGGAAUGAAAUCCUAGAAAGUGGCGAACGGGUGAGUAACGCGUGGGUAACCUGCCCUAUGGAAAGGAAUAGCCUCGGGAAACUGGGAGUAAUGCCUUAUAAUAUACGAGAGUCGCAUGGCUUUUGUAUUAAACGCUCCGGUGCCAUAGGAUGGACCCGCGUCCCAUUAGCUAGUUGGUGAGAUAACAGCCCACCAAGGCAACGAUGGGUAACCGGUCUGAGAGGGCGAACGGUCACACUGGAACUGAGACACGGUCCAGACUCCUACGGGAGGCAGCAGUGGGGAAUAUUGCGCAAUGGGGGCAACCCUGACGCAGCAAUACCGCGUGAGUGAAGAAGGUUUUCGGAUCGUAAAGCUCUGUUAUUGGGGAAGAAAAAAGACGGUACCCAAGAAGAAAGUCCCGGCUAACUACGUGCCAGCAGCCGCGGUAAUACGUAGGGGACAAGCGUUGUCCGGAUUUACUGGGCGUAAAGGGCACGCAGGCGGUUUUUUAAGUCAGAUGUGAAAGGUACCGGCUCAACCGGUGACAUGCAUUUGAAACUGAAAGACUUGAGUAUUGGAGAGGCAAGUGGAAUUCCUAGUGUAGCGGUGAAAUGCGUAGAUAUUAGGAGGAACACCGGUGGCGAAGG
rnacentral:rRNA from 1 species